GCCUGAGUGGUGGAAUGGCAGACACGUCGGACUCAAAAUCCGAUGCCUUUACGGGCGUGUGGGUUCAAGUCCCACCUCAGGUACCA
rnacentral:tRNA from 1 species